UUGUAGACGACAUGAUACAGUUCGUACAUUGUCAAGCCUACGUAACAGACCGUCUUUGAAUGAAUAAUUUGACUGUUUGUGCUUGCUAAAAGAAAGCAAAUUCGCUUAUAUAUCCUCACUGUAUUUUCAUUACAAUGAUAUAUUAGUGUACCGACGGAGGAAACAUUCAUCAUUCUUCGAAUGCGACCUAAAUGUAAUAUUAAACUUAAAGAUUGUGUAAGCUUGAAUAUCUCUACUGAUAGAAUGUUACACUGCCUUGAUGAAAUGUAGAACUAAGAAAGAGCAUUUUCAGAAUGGCUUUAGAAGAAACAAAGAUAAUAUAUCAUAUUGAUGAUGAAGAUACCCCAUAUUUAGUAAAGCUUUCUGUACCACCUGAUCGUGUAACACUUGGAGAUUUCAAAAAUGUGCUUAAUAGACCUAACUAUAAAUUUUACUUCAAAUCGAUGGAUGAUGAUUUUGGGGUUGUUAAAGAAGAAAUAAGUGAUGACAAUGCAAAAUUGCCAUGUGUGGGUGGCAGAGUUGUAUCUUGGGUAUGUGUU